CAAGGCUGGGGAUAACAUUUGGAAACAGAUGCUAAUACCGAAUAAAACUUAGUAUCGCAUGAUACAAAGUUGAAAGGCGCUACGGCGUCACCUAGAGAUGGGUCCGCGGUGCAUUAGUUAGUUGGUGGGGUAAAGGCCUACCAAGACAAUGAUGCAUAGCCGAGUUGAGAGACUGAUCGGCCACAUUGGGACUGAGACACGGCCCAAACUCCUACGGGAGGCUGCAGUAGGGAAUCUUCCACAAUGGGCGAAAGCCUGAUGGAGCAACGCCGCGUGUGUGAUGAAGGCUUUAGGGUCGUAAAGCACUGUUGUAUGGGAAGAAAUGCUAGAAUAGGGAAUGAUUCUAGUUCGACGGUACCAUACCAGAAAGGGACGGCUAAAUACGUGCCAGCAGCCGCGGUAAUACGUAUGUCCCGAGCGUUAUCCGGAUUUAUUGGGCGUAAAGCGAGCGCAGACGGUUGAUUAAGUCUGAUGUGAAAGCCCGGAGCUCAACUCCGGAAUGGCAUUGGAAACUGGUUAACUUGAGUGUUGUAGAGGUAAGUGGAACUCCAUGUGUAGCGGUGGAAUGCGUAGAUAUAUGGAAGAACACCAGUGGCGAAGGCGGCUUACUGGACAACAACUGACGUUGAGGCUCGAAAGUGUGGGUAGCAAACAGGAUUAGAUACCCUGGUAGUCCACACCGUAAACGAUGAAUACUAGGUGUUAGGAGGUUUCCGCCUCUUAGUGCCGAAGCUAACGCAUUAAGUAUUCCGCCUGGGGAGUACGACCGCAAGGUUGAAACUCAAAGGAAUUGACGGGGACCCGCACAAGCGGUGGAGCAUGUGGUUUAAUUCGAAGCAACGCGAAGAACCUUACCAGGUCUUGACAUCCUUUGAAGCUUUUAGAGAUAGAAGUGUUCUCUUCGGAGACAAAGUGACAGGUGGUGCAUGGUCGUCGUCAGCUCGUGUCGUGAGAUGUUGGGUUAAGUCCCGCAACGAGCGCAACCCUUAUUGUUAGUUGCCAGCAUUCAGUUGGGCACUCUAGCGAGACUGCCGGUGACAAACCGGAGGAAGGCGGGGACGACGUCAGAUCAUCAUGCCCCUUAUGACCUGGGCUACACACGUGCUACAAUGGCGUAUACAACGAGUUGCCAACCCGCGAGGGUGAGCUAAUCUCUUAAAGUACGUCUCAGUUCGGACUGCAGUUUU
rnacentral:rRNA from 1 species